UCAUCAGUUGGGAGAGUGAGGGCAAGACA
rnacentral:piRNA from 1 species